AGCAGCCGCGGUAAUUCCAGCUCCAAUAGCGUAUAUUAAAGUUGUUGCAGUUAAAAAGCUCGUAGUUGAAUUUCGGGGUUAGUAGGUUGGUCAUGCCACUGGUAUGUACUGGUCUCACUGAUUCCUCCUUCCUGAUGAACCGUAAUGCCAUUAAUUUGGUGUUGCGGGGAGACUGGACUGUUACUUUGAAAAAAUUAGAGUGUUUAAAGCAGGCUAACGCUUGAAUACAUUAGCAUGGAAUAAUGAAAUAGGACGUUCGAUCCUAUUUUGUUGGUUUCUAGGAUUGACGUAAUGAUUAAUAGGGAUAGUUGGGGGCAUUAGUAUUCAAUUGUCAGAGGUGAAAUUCUUGGAUUUAUUGAAGACUAACUACUGCGAAAGCAUUUGCCAGGGAUGUUUUCAUUAAUCAAGGACGAAAGUUAGGGGAUCGAAGACGAUCAGAUACCGUCGUAGUCUUAACCAUAAACUAUGCCGACUAGGGAUCGGAUGAUGUUAAUUUUUUAAUGACUCAUUCGGCGCCUUACG
rnacentral:rRNA from 1 species